CUUCUUGAUUGCUGUGCGUCGUUCACUUUGGGCACAAGUUCGCCCUCAAUAAACCAUGCCCCGUCACCAGUCAGCAGAUUAUACCACGUCCGGCGCCGCAAUCUCAUCCGCCUUCCUGCCAGUUAAUCCGACGUCCAGCUGCACAAACCAUUCAAGAACAGUACAGCCUCCGCCAGCACAAACCACUGCCCAUCUUCGCUCCCUUUAAGUGCCAACCGCACUAGACUUGAACCAUCUGCCUGCAUCUACCGUCUACCCCUCCAACCCUCCAUAAUUCCAAGAUUGCCCUCAAGUCACUUUUUCUGCUGUAAUUAUCACCCAUCCCUCAUUAAAUACCCCAACUGGGGCAUUUUAGGUAUUCAAAAUAAAUAAAUAAUUAAAUUUCUUUAUCGGA